AAUUAAGUGGGGUGGGUCCUAGAGUCCUUCUAGACAUGGACUCCUAACUAACCCUAAUUAUUAGGGAUAAAAAGGGGGGCACCUCUCAUGCAAAUCUCGCGAGUGAAUAUUAGAUUUUGGUGUGUGAAAACCAGAAGGGAGCCUCCCUUCUUGAGAGGUCUCUUGGGCAUGAGAAAAUUAGAGGAGAAGGUCUUCUCUCUUGGGUGUGGGUUCCUCUUUCUUGGAGCUAGAGUUUCGGUGAGAAAAAAAAUCAAGAGAGAAGGAGUUCUCCCUUGCCUUCUUCCAUCAAUCUCUUUUUCCUCCAUUGAUCAGCCACAAAGGGCCUCUGUAAGGAGCCAGCACUCCAAGAAGGUCGAUCCGAUCAUGCUUCAUAUGGAUAUCUGUAAAGACCGGAUGCGUGUGUGGCUAGGAGCAACAUACAAUCCUUCGAUCUUCAGCUGCAGUGAUCUUCGAUCUGCACUCAGACUGCUCUUCUAGGACCAACCCAGAAAAAAGAAAGGUCGAGAAGCCCGUGCUGCACCUCUCCCCACUGAUGAGGAGAAAUAAGGACGAGACAUGUGCACUGCAUGUGGAUGAUCUGCUUCAGAUUAUCUGAGAUGACAGCAUAGAUCUUCUCCUGAUCUGUUGCUAAUGAGCUUUGGAUUUCAUCCUCGCAUAACAUCCAGGCCCGUCUCUAUUGGAUCAGCCGAUCCAACCAUCUGAUGUAGGUGACCGGACAUGGAUGCAACUCACGUGGGAUCAAAGGAUGAUCAAAUUAGGAUUGAUAUGUCACAUCAUAUUCAAAGCAUGUCAUAUGAAGUCUUGAGAGAAGAAUUGUGAAGAAUCAUGAGAUUCUCAUCUAUGAUAGAAGAAUAACACAGCAUGAUUUAGCACCCUACUCAUCUACGAUAGAAGAACAAUGAGAUUCGGAGAGAGAAAAUAUGGCAACUUCUUCAAUCGACAUGUGUCAUCUGUUUUACUCCCCUUUAAUGUAUUUGUAUUAAUAUCUGUUUUAAAUAUGUACUGCCUCGGAAUUAAGAAAAAGCAUUUGAAUCAAAUUUGCUAUGUUGGUUGCUUGAUAUCA